rnacentral:rRNA from 1 species
CAGCAGCCGCGGUAAUACGUAGGGGGCGAGCGUUGUCCGAAGUUACUGGGCGUAAAGCGCGCGUAGGCGGCUUCUUAAGUCUGAGGUGAAAGGUUCAACGCUUAACGUGAACAGUGCCUUGGAUACUGGGGAGCUUGAGUAUGGGAGAGGGCAGUGGAAUGGCUGGUGUAGCGGUGAAAUGCGUAGAUAUCAGUCGGAACACCCAUGGCGAAGGCAGCUGCCUGGCCUAAUACUGACGCUGAGGUGCGAAAGCGUGGGGAGCGAACGGGAUUAGAUACCCCAGUAGUCCCUGUCUCUUAUA